rnacentral:lncRNA from 1 species
UUUUAAAAUCUAAAAACUGAAAAUGGGUUCUCCAGACCUUUUAAGGGUUAAACAGAAUGAAUACCAGGCCACAGUGGACAUGGCCCUAUACCCAUGGCUGAGCCACAGUAUUCACUGUAUUACUGGUGCAUUUUUGUUAGUUUUUGGCUCAAGGUUAAACUUCCUGUUACAGGCGAUCAGACAAACAGGACCAAAGGUAACACACGCACACACACACAUACGCGCGCAUUCUGCAGGUAUGCUGUUGAGCAUAUUGAAGCUCAGCUCAUUUAACAGGCACCAUGACCCAGUCUACAGCUGAAAACUUUCUGAGAGAGAAUAGGACCACUAUUGUAAACGGUGUGACAAAAGAACAGUGUGACAGUUUGGUUGAUUUUCUUCUUGAAAAAGGCCUUUUUUUUGAUGAAUCUGGAAGUGAAAUUCGCACCCUGAAUACCAGUCAGAAGAAAAUGCGCAAGCUUCUGGAAUCUGUAAAAACAAAGAAGGCAAAUGAACUGGUGUUGCAGUGGCUGAGGGAGAAGCUGCCUGAUCUGAUUGAUGAUUUGGAAAACAACAGCGACCAUGAUCCGCCUCCGAGUAAGUUAUUGUAAUACCUGUUACACUUUCACUCAAACAUUACACUGAAUACCUAUUACAUGUAACUGAACUCUCAGCUAAAUGUAAAAUAUUGUCAAUGGAAUCUAACACUAAUAUUAACUUAACCCUAACUUUGAAUCUACCCUAAAACCUAACCCUCAAAUGUUAAAGUUAGGGUAUAGUUAAAUGUUAGAUGAACAUAAACAUGUCAACAAUGGACCAUCCUUGUAAAGUGUCACCUUUUAUCAUAAUACUUGUUAAUUUUGAGUUUGUCAACCCUUCCUUUCUCUUUCUCUCUUUUGUACACACAGAGAAGAAGUCUAGAAGGCAUAGAAACAAUGUAGAUGAAGCAGACAGUUGCUUCAGUCAACCUGGCAAGUCUUUCAUUAUUUGAUAAAAAAAAACUAUUGAAUGUUUUACCCUUAUCAAAGCUUCUAGAGCUGCACAAUAGCUGUUACUCAACCCAUCCUGCACUUAAAAACAUAUGACCUUUUUUUGUUUUUCCCAUCAUAACCUUGACAGAUCUCAAGGAUUUAUCCUUUCCCCAGUUGGAAGAAUGGGUGUCCAAUUCUACAGUCAGCCAAAACCUAAUUAAGAACUUGAAAA